rnacentral:rRNA from 1 species
UACGGGGGGAGCAAGCGUUGUUCGGAUUUACUGGGCGUAAAGGGCGCGUAGGCGGUCGUGACAAGUCACUUGUGAAAUCUCCGGGCUUAACUCGGAACGGUCAAGUGAUACUGUCGGACUAGAGUACAGAAGGGGCAACUGGAAUUCUCGGUGUAGCGGUGAAAUGCGUAGAUAUCCGGAGGAACACCGGUGGCGAAGGCGGCUCCUGGACCGACACUGACGCUGAGGCGCGAAAGCUAGGGGAGCAAACGGG